rnacentral:lncRNA from 1 species
UUUAACCUAAUAAUAUAAUUAUUUUUUGUAUCCCCUCUAGGAAGAAUCAUGAUAUAUUUUAUGUUUCCACUAUUACUUGUAAACAUCUAUUAUCUUACAGAACCUGAGAUGCCCGAGGGGAGCUGGAAGUGUGAGAAAUGCAACAAUAUCAAUUAUCCUUUUAGGACAAAGUGCAAUAGACAGAAUUGUGGGGCUGAUAAGCCGUCAGACUCCAAGAAGUCCCNUUUUAUGUUUCCACUAUUACUUGUAAACAUCUAUUAUCUUACAGAACCUGAGAUGCCCGAGGGGAGCUGGAAGUGUGAGAAAUGCAACAAUAUCAAUUAUCCUUUUAGGACAAAGUGCAAUAGACAGAAUUGUGGGGCUGAUAAGCCGUCAGACUCCAAGAAGUCCCCU